GCCGGGCGUUGUGGUGGGCGCCUGUGGUCCCAGCUACUUGGGAGGCGGAGGCAGGAGACUCGCUUGAGCCCAGGAGUUGGAGGUUGCUGUGAGCUGUAAUGCCAUGGCACUCUACCCGGGGGGACAGCUUGAGGCUCUGUCUCAAAAAAAAAAAAAAAAUAGCCACUGCACUCCAGCCUGGGCAACAUAGCAAGAUCCCAUCUCUU
rnacentral:SRP_RNA from 1 species